GCUGGCGGCGUCUUAACACAUGCAAGUCGAACGAGGNUCUUCGGUGUAACAAUACANUGUUGGUCCUAGUGGCGCACGGGUGAGUAACACGUGGGUGACCUGCCCUUGAGCUCGGGAUACCCCCUCGAAGGGGGGGCUAAUACCGGAUACGUUCCUCGGUCGAAAGACUGAGGAGGAAAGGUGGCGCAAGCUGCCGCUCUUGGAGGGGCUCGCGGCCUAUCAGCUAGUUGGCGGGGUAACGGCCCACCAAGGCUAUGACGGGUAGCUGGUCUGAGAGGACGACCAGCCACACGGGGACUGAGACACGGCCCCGACUCCUACGGGAGGCAGCAGUGGGGAAUUUUCCGCAAUGGGCGAAAGCCUGACGGAGUGACGCCGCGUGUGGGACGAAGGCCUUCGGGUCGUAAACCACUGUCAGUGGGAAAGAUGGGUGUCGAUGCUAAUACCAUCGGCAUCUGACGGUACCUGCAGAGGAAGCCCCGGCCAACUCUGUGCCAGCAGCCGCGGUAAGACAGAUGGGGCAAGCGUUGCUCGGAAUUACUGGGCGUAAAGGGCGCGUAGGCGGGACGGUAAGUCGGUCGUGAAAUCCCUCGG
rnacentral:rRNA from 1 species